GCGAUACCUGGCUCCUGGGGUUUUCCCCAAAGCAGAGCCGCCACCGUGAUGACUUGCCGGGAAGCCUUCAAGGAGUCACUACUCCCAGACAGGUGGUUUGGGACAAUGUUCCCAGCAGCUGCUGAGACCACUUUUGGGGGGAGAGUCUCCCUGUCUCUCCCCUGCGCAGCACUGGCGGCAGUGUAUGCUUCUCCUUGGUGGAAUGGAAUCAUGCCUCUGGACAAGCUGACAAGCCCCGUGACCCAGGUUUUGUUUUGUUUUGUUUUGUUUUUUUGCAGAGUGGGAUGCAGAAGUGACUCGAGGUCAGGAGCUUGUUCUCCUGUCUCCACAAUGGCUCCCUGUUGAGAAAAUACUCGGUGUCCCAGAGGCAGAGUGGAGAGAGGAACAGGUGUGCUGGCAAGGACAGAAUGCCACGCAGGAUCCAUGGGGAGACUUUCUGCAGGCCAGCUUCCAGUCUGUUCCCGGUGUCGUUCGUCUUCGAACAAGCUCACGCUCUAUUUGUGGCAGGUGGCAGAAGCACAAGAAGCCCAGCUACAGGGAAGCACGGUUAAAGCCUCUGCUCACGUCAUCUUUGCUCACAUCCUAUUGGCCAGAGCAAGUCACAUGGCCAACAUCAACUGGACCAGGAUGUAAAUUUCUCCCACGGAAGUUGAGAGAAGCCAGGACAAGGGCCAGGAAGGAAGGUGGGCAAAGAAUCCAGCUGCCAAUACAAAAGCUUCAGGAGACACACUUUCGGUCCCUGGGUCAAGAAGAUCCCCCUGGAGGAGGAAAUGGCAACCUACUCCAGUAUUCUUGUCAAGAUAAUCCCAUGGACAGAAGGUCCUGGCAGGCUACAGCUUCCACAUAACAUUGAGCAAAGUUUGAGAAAAACAGCGACAUGGCAAGAGAAAGAGCGCGAGGUUAGAGACUUUGUCUUUCCAAGGCUGAUGGUAUGAUCCUCCUGCCAUGAAGCCACCUGUUGGUGUCUCUCUGCCUAAAGACCACAGUUCCGUAAUCCACGCCUCCCUCGCAGUGCCGCACUCCAGCCCUCAGGAACUCUGAAAGGAGGCUGCCCAACUGCCACUUCCCUGUGGAGGUCUUCUCCUGCCAGAGGUCUCGCCUACAGGAUCUCUCAUCACCUUUGUGUAUCACCUGCGGAGUCUCACCGCAAUCUGUCAACCUUAUUUGCUUAAAUCCGUCCACCCCACUAGAAGAUGAGCUUCCCAAAGAGCAGGACCUCUGGUCUUUCUUCAGGGCCCUGAAGCUGGUGGAUCCCGACUGAAACUCUCGGACUGAAUGACAGCUCAGAGUCCAUCAGAUAUUGAGCAGACUCCCUUUCCCCCCAGCCCCGCCCCCAGCUUUCUUCACCGGAAAUCAUUUCAAAAUCAUUCAUUUUGGAAAUAAGGCUUCUAGGGCUUCGACCGCACCCACCCACCUACGUUCCAACGGUUAGAAC
ensembl:lncRNA